rnacentral:rRNA from 1 species
GAGACAGCAGUCGCCACGGUAAUACGGAGGGUGCAAGCGUUAUCCGGAUUUAUUGGGUUUAAAGGGUCCGUAGGCGGAUCUGUAAGUCAGUGGUGAAAUCUCACAGCUUAACUGUGAAACUGCCAUUGAUACUGCAGGUCUUGAGUAAAUUUGAAGUGGCUGGAAUAAGUAGUGUAGCGGUGAAAUGCAUAGAUAUUACUUAGAACACCAAUUGCGAAGGCAGGUCACUAAGAUUUAACUGACGCUGAUGGACGAAAGCGUGGGGAGCGAACAGGAUUAGAUACCCGUGUAGUCCCUGUCUCUUAUAC